ACACACAGCUAGCUCUUCAGGCCAGGCCCCCAGGGUUUCGUCCACCUCUCACCUUUGACGACGCGAAUGAAGAAUGAGGAGGUGCUGCGAUCGAACGACUGCGAGGAAACACACCCGCUCUCAUGGCAUUCCCAGUAAACUGAGAAGACGUGAUUAAACCUCAGGAUCUCCUACUAAUAGAGAAAUGUAUAACGAUUUAGCUACCAGAUCUGAAUACUGAAGGGUUGGUAGGGGACCAGAGAAUAGAGGAAGCAUUGUAGGUUCUAGAGUGGAGAAGGGACCAUCCAAAAUGGAGUUUGAAAGAGAAUUCUGGCCUUUGUGUUUAGAGUCUGGAAUUGUCAAGAGUCUGAAAGCACAGAAUAAGACUGCAGCUAGAGCAAUUUAGGCGCCAUAGUUUGUCAAAACAGGUAAGGGGAAUAAAGGGGAUGACACCAAGAGAUGUGCAAAGAAUCUGAAGAAUUCACCUGAAAAGGAUACAACCUCCUCCUGGAAGGCAGAGGAGUAAAUAGGGAAUUGGAAAUUAAUUCCUUAUUUCUGCACAUGCACAGAAUCUGGGCCCAGGUGACUUAUGGAACCUUUAUAGAGACCACGGUGACUGACACUCAUGGGAAAGGGGGUAGAGGGGCAAGAACUGACUGUUCAUCAAAAAUUAUUAGAUGAGUGUGUCCACGACACCAGGAGAUAUGUUGAAUCAUGGACAGG
rnacentral:lncRNA from 1 species